rnacentral:antisense_RNA from 1 species
AGUGUUUGAUGCUUCCAUCAGGCAGUUGAAUGGCUGGCAUCUGCUCUCUCCCUUAACGAUGCAGAAACAGGUUCUGAAAUGGCAAAAAAAAACCCUGAAAAACAGGGUUAAAUAUGGUAGGCACGAGUGGGAUCGAACCACCGACCACCACCA